AUCCUUAAAACACACAGAACAACGGGAGGACAAAAGAGGCAAACGGAGGGGGGUGAGAGAGAAUGAAGGAGCCGCGGACAUCACUGAUGAAAACGCGGGCAUGAUGAGAUGAGAGGUGAGCGGACUGCAGGCUCCCAGCCACGGCGGAACGACAGGGGCCGGAUCAGCAGCACGGCGGCGAUGCGUUGAAGCGAAACUGACCGCUGCGGUUCCUGGAGCAUCUUUCACCAUGCUGGGGAAGGACUAUAUGCUGGCCAUCAUCAUCGUCAACUAUAACGAUAACAUCUGGAAUGAUCAGGACCUUGAUCUGGACUCGGACUUGCCCCCUGGCUGGCGUACCAUCCGGGACAGCACUGGCACAUACUACUGGCACGUACCCACCGGCGCCACACAGUGGCAUCACCCGUCACAUGACGCCGAGGGUGACCCAAGUUCCGCCCUCACGGGCGCCAGUAAACGCAGGAGAUUCAGCGCCAGCACUGAACAAGGUUCUGAAAUAAGGGGUACGAUGAGCCCAACGUCGACCCUGCGUGACAGGGGAAGCCUGCCUUGGCACGAGGAUCAUUUUUAUACCAACAACGAUCCUGACUCUAAGUGUUUUGCUGUGCGCUCCCUGGGCUGGGUGGAGAUCCCCGAGGAGGACCUGGCUCCUGGCAAGAGCAGCAUCGCCGUCAACAACUGCAUCCAGCAGCUAUCCUACAGCAAGUGUGAGGGCAGGGACGCUGCGGGGGCAUGGGGGGAGGGUCAGGACAUGGUCAUGGUGCUGAAAAAAGACACCCUGAGCCUGGUGGACCCAGCGGACCACAGCCUGAUCCACUGCCAGCCCAUCGUCAGCAUCCGCGUGUGGGGUGUGGGCUGCAACAAGGGGAGAGACAGGGACUUUGCCUUCGUAGCCAGCGACAAAGACACAUGCAUGCUAAAGUGCCACGUGUUUCGCUGCAACGUCCCGGCCAAAGCCAUCACGGUGGCUCUGCACGACAUGUGCUCCAAGAUCAUGUCAGAGAAAGCCAAGAUGCAGCCGCCCAUGCCGCGCUCUGUCACCAUGGAGAGCAUCUCCCCCGAGGAUCUGCCCAGACACGUCGACUUCCUGGAUGCAGUGAGGCAAAGGGAGCAGAUGUUUCCAGUGGAGUAUAUCGGUCAAAUGGCCGUUCCGCAGGCCAUGGGUAUGGAGGUGCUGAACAGGGCAAUCGAGAACGUCAUGAACAUGACGGACAGGGAUGAGUGGGAGCCCACGGUUCUCCGCGUUUCGGACGCCGUGCUGUCCCUCUGGAGAGGAGAGGAUGGAGAUGACCCACUCUGGGAGUCUCAGGUGCGCUACCUGACCUUCCUGGGCGUGGGCCACGACAGGCACACCUUUGCGGUGAUCGUGGACGGCGGGACACAGCGAUUCCAGUGUCAUGUCUUCUGGUGCGAGCCCGACGCCGGGUUUAUCUCGGAGGCGGUGCAGGCGGCUUGCAUGGUAUGCUCACUACUGGACCGCAAAGCGGACGACCACGGUCCAGAGACCCCGGCUACUGCACGUGCCCAGCAGGCCUCAUAGAGGAUCUGCUGGAUAGCGCAUCUAAACACCCACAAUGAGUGCUUCAUGAAUAACGCAAGACAUUCGUAUUAUAAUGUACCUUAUUCACCACUAUGGUCAGUCCUGCUACGCGACCGAUGUGUUCCUGAAAAACCUCUCGUUCACUAAAAUCUCGUACUAAAAUAUCCAACAGGAGAAAUAGGGUUAGAAGGAUGUGACCGGUAAAACUUAGUAACUUAAGCCAAACGGAAUUAAUUAAAUAAUAAAAACAGUGAUACCAGUGGCCAAUAAUGUAAUUAUAUGCAUUUUUAUGAGUCUCAUGAGAAUUGCCUGGAAACCGCUUCAACUGAACUUGCUGAACUCGCUAACUUGCCGAUUGUCGAGAGUUGGGAGUAGCAAUGGCCGAAACGUGGGGUCAGAAAAUACGGCAAAUGGUUCAUGAAGCGUUGUUUCGUCAUCGUUAGUCGGGAGCAGUGAGCCACAGUCGCCGUGCGGCCGGGCUUCGCGUGCGCACAGCACAGAUAUAACGGAUUACGGUAUGUGGGGGCGCAGAAGGCAACGUAGCUACAGCCUCUCUACAAAAACAAAUGUCCAGUAUCAAAAAUGUCUGGUGGCCCAAACCCCGCCGCUCAAGUCGAAAAUGUGGCGGUCCGGCAGCAAGGUGAAACGGACCAGCUCCGUAGACAGCACCUCCCUCCUACCCCCCCACAGCGGACUCUCACCCCC